UUUCUUCCUACAAGAGCACAAACCAUGUACAUUUCCAGACAUCUUUGAAAAGCAAGUCAGCACCACCUCUCAGAUACCCAUGGAGUUGGGAGGUGCUGCGCUCAGGGAGACUGGAGGAGGUUCCGUCUCAUGCAUCAUCUGUGGCCGCAGAGGUCACACUGCCGGUCGUUGGCGGGUUGGUUCCUCUGGGGGUCGAGGCAGCAGGCAGGACACUCUAGCGUCACCCCAGACCAAGCUCCCAGAAAGUGAAGGCAGACGCACAGUCCCGGCUGUAUGACAAAGAGGAGCGGCCCAUGGAUCCCACCCCCAUACUCCCGGCCUCUUGCCUGGUGGUGCCGGUAGUGUGGGAGCUGGACACGGAUAUUGAGCAGGCGUUGAGUGCAAAGUUUUCUGCUUCAGUGUCUUUAGAUAUUUUUGUCAG